GACGAACGCUUGCGGCGUGCCUAAGAAAUGCAAGUCGAGCGGGAAGAGCAAUCUUCUAGCGGCGAACGGUCGCGUAACACGUAAGCAACCUGCCCGAAAGACCGGGACAACACUCCGAAAGGGGUGCUAAUACCGGAUGUGCCCACUUCCUUGCCUGAGGAGGUGAGUAAAACGCGCAAAAACUUUCCAAGGAAGACAGGAGACAGAAGACAGAAGCCAGAGGGGGUUGCCGGUAACGGUCGCUUUUCUUGNGUCUUCUUCAAUUCUGUCUUCUGUCUUCUGCGGAAGCUUGUGGCGGCUUUUGGAGGGGCUUGCGGCCUAUCAGAUAGUUGGUGGGUAACGCCUACAAGUCAUCGACGGGUAGCUGGUCUGGAGAGGAUGGUCAGCCGGAC
rnacentral:rRNA from 1 species